rnacentral:rRNA from 1 species
UACGUAGGAGACAAGCGUUGUCCGGAAUUACUGGGUGUAAAGCGCGUGUAGGCGGUAGGCCAAGUCUGCUGUGAAAUCGCCCGGCUCAACUGGGCGCGGUCGGUGGAAACUGGUCAACUGGAGGACGGUAGAGGCGAGUGGAAUUCCCGGUGUAGUGGUGAAAUGCGUAGAGAUCGGGAGGAAGGCCGGUGGCGAAGGCGGCUUGCUGGGGCCUUACCUGACGCUGAGGAGCGAAAGCGUGGGGAGCGAACAGG